rnacentral:misc_RNA from 1 species
GUGAGUGGGUUUGGGCGGGUAUGGGCAUGUUGGAUCCCUGUUCGGGCAGCGACGACAUCUCCUCCACGUCUCUUCAAUAUUUGGCGCGAGCGCUUGCUCGGCCGACGUCGGUUUCCUGUGCUGAAUACCUAUUGCGAGGGCAUUGUGUCGGCUACGUUUGUUCGCUUCCCACCUUGUGCCGCUGCUCCACGUGGGCGUGCGGUGCGGGGCGGGCCAAAUCGCGCGCGUCGUGUGUCGCACCGCGUUCGCCCCUAGGGGCGUUCGGGUUGUCGACCCACGACGUGUGCUCGGUCUCUCGGGUACGGUGCAUCAUGUGGGUACGAGGCCUUCGGCCUCCGAGCACCACAAUCAAGCGUUCUACGCUUCGUGCGAACGACCGUCGGUUCGGUCUUUGGCCGUGCUCUCGCAGCUCGGUUCAAGUCGGGCCGACCUCCAUUAGGAAUGCUACCUGGUUCCUGCAA